CGAGGCGGGAGGGGUCCUGGCCGCGGGCGAUGCGGCCGGACAUGAUGCGGAACUUCUUGCGGAGGCGGCGGAGCUUCUCGGAGAGCUGGGACCGGUUGUAGGGCUGGGGCAUCGACUCCGAGAAGCGAUCGUAGAAAAGAUUCAGGUCGCGGGGGAAGACCAUGCCCUGGGACCAGCAGCCGAGGAGGCCCUGUAGGAAGCGGAUCUCGUCGGACUCGGACCAAAUCCGGUGGAACUUGAAGGGAGGGGAGCGCAGAUCGCCGGCUGCCGCAGCGCCCCCGGGCCGCCUUCGACGCCGGCCGCGGAGGAGGCCGGUCCGUAUUCGGAUUCAUCGUCGUCUUCGGCGUCAUCGUCGUCGUCGUCGUCGUAGUCGUAGCCGUUGUCGGAGGGGAGGGCGGGGAGGGGGCAUCGGGUUCGAGCUUGGGGGCGAGGGGGACGGAGUCGUGGGUGGGGUUGGGGUCAGAAGAGGGCUUUCGCUUGAUGGGGAGUUUGCGAGCGGCCGACUUGAUGUGGAGGGUUGGGGUCGGGGUGGCCAUGGCGCGCCUGCUUGCGCGCAGGAGAUGGGAUGGAUUUGGGGCGAGGGUUGGGGGAGUAGGGGUGGGGUGAGGCAGGAUAGCGGGGGAGUGAGAUUGGAUUUGGAUCCGAUGCAGGGGCGACGGAUGGGGCACGGGGGUUGGGGCGGCGGCGCUUGUUGCCUCCGCUGCCGGGGGCGGCGGCAUCGGGAGCGGAGAAGGGAGAGGAGGAGGCGUAGGAAGGGUGCCAGAGGCGGGUGCAGAGGUGGAGGAGGUCGCGGUCAUGCGGNNNNNNNNNNNNNNNNNNNNNNNNNNNNNNNNNNNNNNNNNNNNNNNNACGGAACUUCUUGCGGAGACGGCGGAGCUUCUCGGAGAGCUGGGAUCGGGUGUACGGCUGGGGCAUCGACUCCGAGAAACGAUCAUAGAAAAGAUUCAGGUCGCGAGGGAAGACCAUGCCCUGGGACCAGCAACCGAGGAGGCCCUGAAGGAAGCGGAUCUCGUCGGACUCGGACCAAAUCCGGUG
rnacentral:lncRNA from 1 species